UGCAGUCGAGCGGACAGAAGGGAGCUUGCUCCCGGAUGUUAGCGGCGGACGGGUGAGUAACACGUGGGUAACCUGCCUGUAAGACUGGGAUAACUCCGGGAAACCGGAGCUAAUACCGGAUAGUUCCUUGAACCGCAUGGUUCAAGGAUGAAAGACGGUUUCGGCUGUCACUUACAGAUGGACCCGCGGCGCAUUAGCUAGUUGGUGGGGUAAUGGCUCACCAAGGCGACGAUGCGUAGCCGACCUGAGAGGGUGAUCGGCCACACUGGGACUGAGACACGGCCCAGACUCCUACGGGAGGCAGCAGUAGGGAAUCUUCCGCAAUGGACGAAAGUCUGACGGAGCAACGCCGCGUGAGUGGCUAAACCUUGCGGUCUUGCAGCCCUUUGUUAGGGAAGAACAAGUGCGAGAGUAACUGUCCGCACCUUGACGGUACCUAACCAGAAAGCCACGGCUAACUACGUGCCAGCAGCCGCGGUAAUACAUAAGGGGCAUGCGUUGUCCGGAAUGAUUUGACGUCAAGGGUCCCCAGGCGGUUUCUUAAGUCUGAUGUGAAAGCCCCCGGCUCAACCGGGGAGGGUCAUUGGAAACUGGGAAACUUGAGUGCAGAAGAGGAGAGUGGAAUUCCACGUGUAGCGGUGAAAUGCGUAGAGAUGUGGAGGAACACCAGUGGCGAAGGCGACUCUCUGGUCUGUAACUGACGCUGAGGAGCGAAAGCGUGGGGAGCGAACAGGAUUAGAUACCCUGGUAGUCCACGCCGUAAACGAUGAGUGCUAAGUGUUAGGGGGUUUCCGCCCCUUAGUGCUGCAGCUAACGCAUUAAGCACUCCGCCUGGGG
rnacentral:rRNA from 1 species